rnacentral:rRNA from 1 species
AGGGAAUCUUCGGCAAUGGACGAAAGUCUGACCGAGCAACGCCGCGUGAGUGAAGAAGGUUUUCGGAUCGUAAAACUCUGUUGUUAGAGAAGAACGUUGCAUAGAGUGGAAAAUUAUGCAAGUGACGGUAUCUAACCAGAAAGGGACGGCUAACUACGUGCCAGCAGCCGCGGUAAUACGUAGGUCCCGAGCGUUGUCCGGAUUUAUUGGGCGUAAAGCGAGCGCAGGUGGUUUAAUAAGUCUGAUGUAAAAAGGCAGUGGCUCAACCAUUGUGUGCAUUGGAAACUGUUAGACUUGAGUGCAGUAGAGGAGAGUGGAAUUCCAUGUGUAGCGGUGAAAUGCGUAGAUAUAUGGAGGAACACCGGUGGCGGAAGCGGCUCUCUGGACUGUCACUGACACUGAGGCUCGAAAGCGUGGGUAGCAAACAGGAUUAGAUACCCUGGUAGUCCACGCCGUAAACGAUGAGUGCUAGUUGUUUGGGGCUAUCCAG